rnacentral:rRNA from 1 species
UACAGAGGGCUCAAGCGUUGUUCGGAUUCAUUGGGCGUAAAGGGUGCGUAGGCGGUGCGGUAAGUCGGGUGUGAAAUCUUGGAGCUUAACUCCGAAACUGCAUUCGAUACUGCCGUGCUUGAGGACUGGAGAGGAGACUGGAAUUCCCGGUGUAGCGGUGAAAUGCGUAGAUAUCGGAAGGAACACCAGUGGCGAAAGCGGCUUCCUGGUCCAGCACCGACGUUCAGGCACGAAAGCGUGGGGAGCAAACAGG